GACGAACGCUGGCGGCGUGCUUAACACAUGCAAGUCGAGCGAGGUCCAACCGGUGGCAACACCGGGGAAGACCUAGCGGCGAACGGUGAGUAACACGUGAGAAACCUGCCCCCGAAGUUCGGGAUAACCCGGGGAAACCCGAGCUAAUACCGGAUACCCACGAUUGGUCGCAUGGCCGAUCGUGGAAAGAACUUCGCUUCGGGAGGGUCUCGCGGCCUAUCAGCUUGUUGGUGGGGUAACGGCCCACCAAGGCAUCGACGGGUAGCUGGUCUGAGAGGACGAUCAGCCACACUGGGACUGAGACACGGCCCAGACUCCUACGGGAGGCAGCAGUGGGGAAUCUUGCGCAAUGGGCGAAAGCCUGACGCAGCAACGCCGCGUGCGGGAUGAAGGCCUUCGGUUGUAA
rnacentral:rRNA from 1 species